GAGACAGCAGCCGCCGCGGUAAUACAGAGGGUGCGAGCGUUAAUCGGAUUUACUGGGCGUAAAGCGUGCGUAGGCGGCUUUUUAAGUCGGAUGUGAAAUCCCUGAGCUUAACUUAGGAAUUGCAUUCGAUACUGGGAAGCUAGAGUAUGGGAGAGGAUGGUAGAAUUCCAGGUGUAGCGGUGAAAUGCGUAGAGAUCUGGAGGAAUACCGAUGGCGAAGGCAGCCAUCUGGCCUAAUACUGACGCUGAGGUACGAAAGCAUGGGGAGCAAACAGGAUUAGAUACCCGUGUAGUCCCUGUCUCUUAUAC
rnacentral:rRNA from 1 species